AGUGAACGCUGGCGGUAGGCCUAACACAUGCAAGUCGAACGGCAGCACAGUAAGAGCUUGCUCUUACGGGUGGCGAGUGGCGGACGGGUGAGGAAUACAUCGGAAUCUACUUUUUCGUGGGGGAUAACGUAGGGAAACUUACGCUAAUACCGCAUACGACCUACGGGUGAAAGCAGGGGAUCUUCGGACCUUGCGCGAUUGAAUGAGCCGAUGUCGGAUUAGCUAGUUGGCGGGGUAAAGGCCCACCAAGGCGACGAUCCGUAGCUGGUCUGAGAGGAUGAUCAGCCAAACUGGAACUGAGACACGGUCCAGACUCCUACGGGAGGCAGCAGUGGGGAAUAUUGGACAAUGGGCGAAAGCCUGAUCCAGCAAUACCGCGUGGGUGAAGAAGGCCUUCGGGUUGUAAAGCCCUUUUGUUGGGAAAGAAAAGCAGCAGGUUAAUACCCCGCUGUUCCGACGGUACCCAAAGAAUAAGCACCGGCUAACUUCGUG
rnacentral:rRNA from 1 species